UUGGAGCUCAUCAGCAAGCACAUGAAAACUAUUGUAGAUAUGGAGAACUCUGGAGUAGUACACAUGUUGAAGAA